rnacentral:rRNA from 1 species
CCCUUUGAUACUCUGGGCGGCACGCGCGCUACACUGGUUUAUAUAACGUGUAAUUUGGACGAUAGUCUGUAUAAAUCACUAAUAUAAAACCGUGAAUGGGAUAGUUUAUUGCAACUUACAAACUUUAACUAGGAAUCCCUUGUAGAAGUAGUGAAUUAUACUGCUUCGAAUACGUCCCUGCCGAUUGUACACACCGCCCGCCGUUUCUUCCGACUGGUACUCAUUGUGAAUUGCGAGGAGAUUCUGUCAAAUCGUUGUAAAUGCUGGGUAUUGGAGGAAGAAAAAGUCGUAACA